UACGCUAUCCAAGCUACAAUC
rnacentral:piRNA from 1 species